ACGUACGACCAUAGCUCGCGGAAUAUAACGGAUCCCGUCCGCUCUCCGAUAUUCAAGGCGCGAAGCGGCUGAUUAGUAUUCGAGUGGGUGACCAUCGGAGAAUCCCAGCUGUUGUACGUU
rfam:Macrophomina phaseolina MS6 contig00499, whole genome shotgun sequence.